rnacentral:misc_RNA from 1 species
GUGGCCUGCUGCAAAAAAUAAACCAUUGCCGUGCUCGCAAGGAGCGUUCACUUUGCAGGUGCGCCGUGCCGUGGUUGUCGCCAAACCACGGACAUUCAGAAAAGGAAAUAUUUGACUCAACCACCCCCCACCACAGCCGGUCCAGUGGCAGUCCCGUAGAGUACCCCCCUGUCUACCCGUCUGUCUACCCUGGCGACAGACCCAACCACGCAGAGACAGCACACAGCUGCUUCGAUGAACGUGACGAAAACCUGCCGAGUGAUGUUCCGAAAUAUCCUGACAUUCCGACCUACGAUUUUGUGAAUCACGUCGACAGCGGGAGGAACUGUGUAGACCGGAGGACGUAUCUACUAGACCAGCCGGAAAUUCCGAACUAUCGGCGAGAGUACCCUAGCGACCAUAGUGAGUAUCCUAGCGACCGGAGCGAUUAUCCCAGCUCAUCGUUUCCUAGCGAUCGCAGUGACUAUCUGAACUCGUUUCCUAGCGAUCGCAGUGACUAUCUGAACUCGUUUCCUAGCGAUCGCAGCGAUUGUCCAAACUCGUUUCCGAGCGAUCGCAGUGACUACCCUAGCGAUAGAAGCGACUACCGCAAAGAGAAACGGGGUGAAGAGUUCCAGGAUGACGACAGCUCCGAGGAUGACUACGAGCCGAUAGAGUCUCUGCCUCCCCUACGAACUGUGACGCCGCUGGUGCCGCCGCCACUGCCGCCGUUACGACCCAAGUUCAGGAAGAUGUCGGAUGGGCCGCCCAAAUACGUCAAGGCCCUGCACACGUUCAAGGGAUCAAACAACGAUGAGCUGUGUUUCUCAAAAGGAGAUAUCAUCACAGUGACACAGGCACUGGAUGAGGGAUGGUGGGAAGGCACCCUCAACGGAAAAACAGGAUGGUUUCCUAGCAACUACGUCAAAGAGGUCAAAGGUGAUCUUAGUAGCAAGGCUAACAGAGCUUCGGAUGUUAUUUCGUACAAGAGAGAAAGCAUGCAGCUCUACCACAACGUGGUAUUGAAAAAUAUCAUAGAAACGGAGAAGUCUCACGUGGAAGGAAUGAACAAGGUGUUACAGACGUACAUAAAACCACUGCAGAACGCUGGAGUAUUGUCGCCAGCGGAGUACUCUCAGUUAGUGGGCAACAUAGAGCAGAUUGAUGCAUUCCAGCACAUGUUUCUAGCCUCCCUGGAGGAGUGUGAAAAGUUACCCCCAAUGAAAAGACGAAUUGGAGGUGUGUUUAUGGAGCAUGCUCCCGAGUUGAAGACCCUGUACAUGGAUUACUGUGGAAACCACCCCAAGGCUGUCUCCAUCCUGCAGUGCAGAAGAGAGGACCUGAAUCGUUUUAUGGAGAGUGCGGGAGCUACCCCUCCUGGAUACAUGACACUGACAACAAAUUUAUCAAAACCAUUCACUAGGCUUGAUAAAUACCCAAGUUUACUGAAGGAACUGGAAAGACAUAUAGAGGAAAGUCACCCAGACAGAGGAGACACGCAGAGAGCUAUAGCUGUAUAUAGAGAAAUAGCUAAUUCCUGUUUAGAAAUCCGGAGACUAAAGGAGAUGGAACAUGAGAUAAUCACAAGUACUAUCAAAGGCUGGGAGGGGGAGGAGAUUAGUAUUCUCGGUGAUGUGGUUCACCUCUCACAGGUGCAGGUCCACAAACAGACGGGGGAGAAAUACGACCGGAUAUUUGUUUUAUUUCCGGGAGUCCUCGUCAUGCUGUCGAUGAGUCCCAGACUUAGUGGUUAUCAAUAUGAGGGUAAACUUCCUCUGAGUGGUAUGACAGUAAAUCGUUGUGAAGAUUCUGAAACAUAUCCUAAUGGUUUUGAAAUAUCAGGGAACAUGAUAGAGAAAAUGGUUGUGACGUGUGGAACGAAGAUCGAAGUGCACCCGUGGGUAGAAAUUCUCCGACAACAAAUCAACCAGUCAUAUCAUUCCGCAUCCAGCAAACCCCAGAGUCUUAAGGUCUCCACCUCUCAACCGAGCAUCAGCACACUAACUCAGGCGAAGACGGCCAAAGUGAUGCACUCUCAGGUCCAGGUCGUCCACUCCCCCGUACAAAACAAAGUCCACAAGACGUGGAGCAUGUCGUGUCUUCGACCGUCGCCCCCACUCCGGCCGUCGCUGAUGUGUCGCGAUGAAGUACUGAAGAGUCCACGGGCUAACAGGAAAUCUGCAACGGCAAAGAGAAAACCAGAUGACCCCAAAGUUUACUACGAAGAUGCAUUUAUCCUGCAAGUGAUAGAAUCCUACUGUAAUAGUGCUAAAACAAGACACACGGUCAACUCCUGUAGACAAAUAAUUUCGGAGAGAAGAAAUCUUAAAGGUAGGGGUGCUAAGAAGUUCUUCUGACAUUGUGCACCGCAUCCUGCUGUUUGGCCAGUUCGAUUUGAUCUAAUAGCUGUGUUGAGUUCGCCUCACGUACUUAUCGCUGACGAAGAGAAAAUCAUUGACGAAUCGGAUUUUCAAGAAAAAACUUUAGUCGACACAGUCUAUUCUCUGAAGGAUAAGGUCAAAGAACUGGAGC